rnacentral:rRNA from 1 species
UUGGGAAUCGUACGCAAUGGACGAAAGUCUGACGUCGCGACGCCGCGUGCAGGAUGAAGGCCUUCGGGUCGUAAACUGCUUUUAUUGGGGAAAAUUAUGAUGGUACCCAAUGAAUAAGUGACUGCUAACUACGUGCCAGCAGCAGCGGUAAUACGUAGGUCACAAGCGUUAUCCGGAAUUAUUGGGCGUAAAGGGUUUUUAGGUGGUUAAGCGGGUCUUCGGUAAAAUCUCCAAGCUCAACUUGGAUUUCGCCGAAGAAACUACUUAGCUCGAGGAAUGCAGGGGCACAUGGAAUUCCCGGUGUAGCAGUGAAAUGCGUUGAUAUCGGGAAGAACACCAAUGGCGAAGGCAGUGUGCUAGGCUUUCCCGACACUGAAGAACGAAAGCGUGGGGAGCGAACGGG